rnacentral:lncRNA from 1 species
AGAGAUUUCAAAAGGCCUACAGAUCUCUCCUUCGUUGGGGACCCUGCCUCCUCGGCACGGCUCCCUGCAUGGGAGGACUGUCCCAUUCAAACUGCGAGGGGACAAAAGCAGCUGUCUUUCCAGGGGGUGAAAAACAAUAGCAUCAAGUCUUCCCAUAAACCUCAACAAACAUGCAAACACAGACGUGAAAAUAGGAAUUACAAACCCAAGCAGUGUGGAAAUGGGACUCAAACUCAAGACUUCCGCCUGUCUUUUUCAAGAUUCGGAGAAUGAACUCAGCACGCCUGCUGCAUCUUAAGGCAGAGAGCCAGCUCCAUGAGGACCGCGACACUGCGUCCAGGACAGUUUGCAAAGAUUGCAGCAGUGCCUAGGGCGUUCGCUGUGAUGCAAUGGAUCAACGGUGUCUCUGCAGCCACAGGAAUGCAGGUUCCAUCCUGAGCCCGGCACAGCGGGUUAAGGAUCCAGUGUUGCCCUAGCUGCAGUGUAGGUCACAACUCUGGCUUGGAUUCAGACCCCAGCCUGGGAACUCCAUAGGUGUGGGAAGGCCAAAAAAGAGGGAAAAAAAGAAAAAGUAAAAGAAAAAAAAGAUUGCAGCAGCUCUUUGAGUGACCCAAUCCUCCAAGUUUUCAAUUCACCGAAAGCUUCUCUAGACACAGUUUGGAAAGGGUGUAGCAUCAUGUUGCAGCGAGGUUAUCCAACAUUCGGUCAUUAUCAGGGCAACGUCUCAUAUCCUGGCUGACUCAUGUCGGCGGCAGUCAAGGGUUUUUACACAUGUUACUGUGAGUUUCCACCUUGCAGUUGAACAGACUUCCAAUUGGUCAAGUUCUCCUUUUCAUCUUUCAAUUUGUCUUAUUUACCUUGAUCCAGGAAUUGUUUUCUAGAGUGGAAGGGAGAGAGAGGCAGUUAAUUUUCCAGAUAAUUUGCAACAUAGGAUAAAACAAAAAAUGUGCUUCACGUUACGGAUGCCUGCACACUUCCUGAGAUGGUGUGCAAAUGGGUUCUGCCUCCAUCACAACUUCCAUUCGCUCCAAACCAAUCAUAAACCGUAAUUAAAAAGUGCAACUGAGUCACCUCAAUUCAGUUGCCAUUUGCAGAAAGAAUCCAGAUAGUUUACCUUUCAGAGUGAAAUGAAAGUGUGUUGUCUAUUUCAGAUGCCUGAGAGUUUCUCAGCGGGUCAGUGUUUUACGUGAGGAUGGCUCGGUUUUCCUCAUAUGCAAGUUAAGCUGUCCAGGAUUUGUGGACAUGAAGGCGGAGGGGAAGCUUUCGUUUGGCAAAGUGAUGCAUUGAGGCAGGGCUGUGU